UACAGAGGGGGCGAGCGUUUGUUCGGAAUUACUGGGCGUAAAGGGCGCGUAGGCGGCCAACUAAGUCAGACGUGAAAUCCCUCGGCUCAACCGGGGAACUGCGUCUGAUACUGGGAUGGCUUGAAUUCGGGAGAGGGAUGCGGAAUUCCAGGUGUAGCGGUGAAAUGCGUAGAUAUCUGGAGGAACACCGGUGGCGAAGGCGGCAUCCUGGACCGAGAUUGACGCUGAUGCGCGAAAGCCAGGGGAGCAAACGGGG
rnacentral:rRNA from 1 species